UACGUAGGGUGCGAGCGUUAAUCGGAAUUACUGGGCGUAAAGCGUGCGCAGGCGGUUUUGUAAGCCAGAUGUGAAAGCCCCGGGCUUAACCUGGGAAUGGCAUUUGGGACUGCAAGGCUUGAGUGUGGCAGAGGAGACUGGAAUUCCUGGUGUAGCAGUGAAAUGCGUAGAUAUCAGGAGGAAUACCGAUGGCGAAGGCAGGUCUCUGGGCUGACACUGACGCUCAUGCACGAAAGCGUGGGGAGCAAACAGG
rnacentral:rRNA from 2 species